GUCUAUUAGCAAGGAGCGUCAAGAGUUCCCGAGCCUUGUCAACAAGGAGAUAAAACUACACAACUGCAUGCUUGAAAGAGAAGACACAGAGGGGGCAGAAGAAACUAAGAAGGCAUAUAUGGCUGCUAGAGGAGUCAGACGACACCACCGAGGUUGCUUCAGAGGAAAAAGUCUCGUCAGCGCUGAUUGACAAGCCUUUUAGGUUGAUGCUAUGCUUCUGGAAUUAGAAAAGGAGAUUGAUGAUGUGGAUGCACAAAUUGGAAACGGCUGGCAACUGCUUUGAUAGGAGAACAUACCCCUGGAGGAGCCAUUCGAGAACCUGAGAUGCAGCCACCGAACAGAUGCACCAGCACCUCUAAUCUUGGGCCCAAGCAAGCUCAAAGAGAUGGUGGAGAGCAACCAAACUAGCUAGGGUGGCCUGAUGAGGUCCUGUAUGAGGCUUUGCUUGUGAUUCAUAUCAUAUUAGGUCUUGUAUGAUGAUGCGUGUGUGGUUGAUGCUCACGUACUAGCUAAGGCAUUCAUUGCUUGCUUAGUGUUCCCGUUGUUGGUGGAAUUAACUGGAUGCACAAAAUAUUUCAACAACAUAUGCCAAAAGGUGCUGCUGCUGCUACCUUGCUGUUAUGCAAUUGUCAGCGUACUCCGAUGAGAAGAUGCCUCCUGAAGGAUUGCUUGAGUUGUGGUUACACUUGUUGAAUUUAUGUCCUCUUGUUGAACACAGUCUACUACACUGACGAAGUGACGAUGGUGAAUCAGUUGCUGAAGCUGAGGAAGAUGGAUCAUUUCGAGAUAUGCAUCUACACGCCGCCAAGGAGCUGGAGCUGUAGCUGAAUAUGCAUCUGCACGCCAAGCAGCCGGUGAAAGUGAAACGACGGCUCCUCAGCCCGAGGCGUCUCUCUUUCUCAAUGGGCGACCAUUAUUGCUCCCUCGGCCUCUUCUUCCUCACGCACUUGUUCAGCGACGAUGAACAAGAGCAGGAUGAACGAGCGGCUCAACCGACCCGGCGCAACAAGAGAGACCACAGCGAGCCCGCAAGCCAGUCGCUGAUGGGUGGGGCCUCGCCCCCAGUGCGCCUCCUCCCGCCGCAGGACGGGAGGAUGAAGCACUCUGACACGUGGGCCAGAACUACCGCCGGUAUAAAACCCGGCAUCGCCCCUUCCUCUCGCCUUGCCCCUGCUCACAACCCCGACCCCGAGGAUCCGCGUUUCGAUUGCCCCCAUUGUCGAUCGACGUCGACCUCGAGCACGAGCACAGGGAGAUGGCCGCAGUCGAGCGUGGUCCUCGAGCAGGGCGUGGCGGCCCUGGCCGCGCCCAGGGGCAUUAGAGGGGCCCUGCUGCUGCCGUCGUGGUGGCAGCUCCUGUCCCAGUACCAGCACAGCCGCAGCCGCAGGUGAACGAACAAGCAGCUCCUCCAAACUUACGGUGGACACUGCUGUGGAGAGACAAUGAUGAGCAUUUCAAUCAUCAACUUGAUCAAGGGGACAAGAUUUACAAUUUCCUCGAGAAGUCACCAUUGGUUGACAGAAUGGAGUUAGUCACGUUUGGUGUCUCUGAAGCUCUAGUUGCUGCUGAACCUGCGAGAGUCCUACCUAUGCUGAACGGUGUAGUUGACAUGAUGAACAUGAUGAUGCCCAUAAGGCAAAGGUACUUCUAUAAGUAUAUGCACGGGGAAUGAGGCAGCGAUGAAAUGCACAAGAUGGAGAAGACGCUGAGGAAGACAGUUGAACGUGUGGAUGAGAAGGUCCAGUUGAUCAAGGAUGCGAAUGGGUUUUGUCCUCCCAGGCCUAAGCUGUUCGACAGCCUUCCUAUGCCUCAACAGAAAAAGUGAACGCAAGAACGAAACAGGGCGCCAGUCUCUUGCUGUUCUACAUCAAGCAUACGGUUCCUUAUUGUAAAUCUGCUGGGCUACAACAAGCAUACGGUUCCUUACUGUAAAUCUGCUGUGCUACGUUACCGAUACUUGUCUCUUGCUGUAUAUGCGCUGUGCUACGUCAAAUAUCCCGCCCGCCUCUUGCUGUAAAUCAGCUUUGCUAACCUCAAGGAUGGAUGUUUGACACUGAUUUUGUUGGUGUUGAAAGGUUUACACCGUACAAAUGUUGUAGUACGUACAAUACUAUUUUUAAUUGUUUGGCAGGCUACAUAGUGAUUUGGGUUGUGAAGAUCAACACUCGCUCAGAAUAUAUUGUUUUGUACUAGGAAACAAUUUUGUGCCCAUUUAAAUGUUGUGUUCUUCAA